rnacentral:RNase_P_RNA from 1 species
UCGAUUGAAGGUGAGGCAAAGUCCGGGCUCCGCCGGAAAAAAUGCCGGGCAAUAACCGGGAGAAAAACGGAAGUUGCAAAUUUUCGCCUUGCGAAAACUAACAUAACCCGUUCUUCUACAGAUAGCGCAGCAGAAAACAAACCGCAAUUCUCGCGCAAGCGAUAAUUGUAAGGGUGAAAAGGCGGUGUAAGAGACCACCGGGCGCUUGGCGACAAGCGCCGCAUUGCAAGCCUCAUUUGGAGCAAGGUCAAGAAGCGGCUGUUUUUCCGGAACAUAAGCCGCGGGUAGACCGCUAAAAUUUUUAGGCGACUAAAAAUUCGGAUAGAUGGUUAUGGGCUUGGUCUUUUGGAUCUAGCUUUCCAGAACCCGGCUUAUGAUUU